rnacentral:rRNA from 1 species
GACGAACGCUGGCGGCGUGCCUAAUACAUGCAAGUAGAGCGCUGAAGGAGGAGCUUGCUUCUCUGGAUGAGUUGCGAACGGGUGAGUAACGCGUAGGUAACCUGCCUGGUAGCGGGGGAUAACUAUUGGAAACGAUAGCUAAUACCGCAUAAUAGUAGAUGUUGCAUGACAUUUGCUUAAAAGGUGCAAUUGCAUCACUACCAGAUGGACCUGCGUUGUAUUAGCUAGUUGGUGAGGUAACGGCUCACCAAGGCGACGAUACAUAGCCGACCUGAGAGGGUGAUCGGCCACACUGGGACUGAGACACGGCCCAGACUCCUACGGGAGGCAGCAGUAGGGAAUCUUCGGCAAUGGACGGAAGUCUGACCGAGCAACGCCGCGUGAGUGAAGAAGGUUUUCGGAUCGUAAAGCUCUGUUGUAAGAGAAGAACGAGUGUGAGAGUGGAAAGUUCACACUGUGACGGUAUCUUACCAGAAAGAGACGGCUAACUACGUG